AAGGAGGAGUGACAAUUCCGCGCCCUGACGAAAUAGGGCGUUAAAAGAUGUAGGUAUAUUUUCUAUAGGCAAAUCCGUAGAGAAUGCUGAAGUCCAACAGUACCAGGAGGCUCCGGCCGAAUGGAUAGAGAAUGUAAGCAGACUUCCGAGAAAAUCUUCUAAGCAUAUUGAUACGGUACCCGUACCGCAAACCGACACAGGUAGUCAAGGAGAGAAUCCUGAGGUGCUCGAGUGAGUCAUGGCUAAGGAACUAGGCAAAUUAAACCUGUAACUUCGGGAAAAGGGUUGCCUCUCUUUAGCAAUAAAGAAGGUCGCAGAGAAAUGGCCCAGGCGACUGUUUAACAAAAACACAUGGCUAUGCGAAAUCGUAAGAUGAAGUAUAUGGCCUGACACCUGCCCGGUGCUGGAAGGUUAAGGGGGGAAGUUAGUCGCAAGGCGAAGCUUUGAACUGAAGCCCCAGUAAACGGCGGCCGUAAUUAUAACGGUCCUAAGGUAGCGAAAUUCCUUGUCGGGUAAGUUCCGACCUGCACGAAUGGUGUAACGAUCUGGGCACUGUCUCAGCCAUGAGCUCGGUGAAAUUGUAGUCACGGUGAAGAUGCCGUGUACCCGUCACGGGACGGAAAGACCCCAUGCACCUUUACUAUAGCUUCGCAUUGACAUUGGGUAGAUGAUGUGUAGGAUAGGUGGGAGGCGUUGAUCCUGUGCCGCUAGGUAUAGGGGAGCCAACGGUGAAAUACCACCCUUUAUUUAUCUGAUGUCUAAUCCGCAAGACCUGCGGAGACAGUGCGUGGUGGGUAGUUUGACUGGGGUGGUCGCCUCCGAAAGUGUAUCGGAGGCUUUCAAAGGUAUGCUCAAUACGCUUGGUAACCGUAUGUGGAGUGCAAUAGCAUAAGCAUGCUUGACUGUGAGACUGACAAGUCGAGCAGGGUCGAAAGACGGAUAUAGUGAUCCGGUGGUUCUGUAUGGAAGGGCCAUCGCUCAAAGGAUAGAAGGUACGCUGGAUAACAGGCUGAUCUCCCCCAAGAGCUCACAUCGACGGGGAGGUUUGGCACCUCGAUGUCGGCUCGUCACAUCCUGGGGCUGGAGAAGGUCCCAAGGGUUAGGCUGUUCGCCUAUUAAAGUGGCACGCGAGCUGGGUUCAGAACGUCGUGAGACAGUUCGGUCCCUAUCUGUGAUGGGCGUAGGAAGUUUGAGAGGAUCUGACCUUAGUACGAGAGGACCGGGUUGGACCAACCGCUGGUGUACCGGUUGUGGCGUCAGCUGCAUCGCCGGGUAGCUACGUUGGGACGAGAUAAGCGCUGAAAGCAUCUAAGCGCGAAACUCACCUCAAGAUGAGACUUCCAUUAAGGGACGUCAGAGACUAUGACGUUGAUAGGCUGCAGGUGUAAAGGCAGAAAUGUCAAAGCUGAGCAGUACUAAUUACCC
rnacentral:rRNA from 1 species